AAUGCAUUAUGGUAUCUGGUUUAUUUAUUCUAUGAUUUUGAAUGCAUGAAUCACUGUUUACUUCACUACUGCUUGGUUUUAUGAAUCUAAGAUAUGCUUGCCUUAUUGGAUGCACGUUGCUUGUUUAAGUAUUCAUGUUUGAGUUGGUAACGGAGACUAAGGACAAAUAGGAAUGGGAUGCGAAUUGAUAAUUGGAUAAGAUGACAGCCUUACUAGAUAUCCUGAGAGAUGAUGGACGGACCGGGUUCAUAGGGAUCCCUACCGGGAACGUUGUCUCAUACCGGACGGGGUAUGGAGACUUUAAAUGUUUUGGUGUUCAUACCGAACGGGGUAUGGGGACAGCCCGCUUCACCCUCAUACCAGACGAGGUAUUGAGGUUUAUUGUUCGGCGCCCAUACCGAACAGAGUAUGGGGACGACCCUGGAAAUUAAGUUUGUUAAGGGAAGGGUUCACGUGCAGCGGGGACCCCUAUGGAUUCUCAUAGAUACUAGUAGGCUGAUAAAAAGGGGACAACUGUUGUUUGAUGAUUGAAAUAUAAGAGUAUGACGUGUGCUAUGUUACAGAUUUUGUAUGAAUUCAUGAUAUCUAU
rnacentral:lncRNA from 1 species